GACGAACGCUGGCGGCGUGCUUAACACAUGCAAGUCGAACGAUGAAGCCCUUUCGGGGGUGGAUUAGUGGCGAACGGGUGAGUAACACGUGGGUAACCUGCCCUGUACCCUGGGAUAAGCCUUGGAAACGAGGUCUAAUACCGGAUAUGACCUGCUCUCGCAUGGGGGUGGGUGGAAAGUUUUGGCGGUGCAGGAUGGACCCGCGGCCUAUCAGCUUGUUGGUGGGGUGAUGGCCUACCAAGGCGACGACGGGUAGCCGGCCUGAGAGGGCGACCGGCCACACUGGGACUGAGACACGGCCCAGACUCCUACGGGAGGCAGCAGUGGGGAAUAUUGCACAAUGGGCGAAAGCCUGAUGCAGCGACGCCGCGUGAGGGAUGACGGCCUCGGUUGUAAC
rnacentral:rRNA from 1 species